rnacentral:rRNA from 1 species
GGUAUUGAAAUAAGAUUUUAAAUGAGUGCUAAGAGAAUGAUUAAACAAUUAAAAGCUUUCUUUAAUUAAAAAAUUAAAUUUAAUUUUUUUUAGUGCAAAAGCAAAAAUAAAAUUUAGGGACAAGAAGACCCUAUGAAUUUUUAUUGUUAAUAAUUAAAAUUUAAGUUAUUAAUAAUUUAAUUGGGGCGAUAAAAAAAGAAUAAGUAUCUUUUUAGUUAUAAAAUAAGUUCCGUUUUUAGCGAUUAAAUGAAAUAAAUACUCUAGGGAUAACAGCGUAAUAAUUUUGGAUAGUUCAUAUAGAUAAAAUAGUUUGCGACCUCGAUGUUGGAUUAGGAUUCUUUUUUGGUGAAGAA